UCAUAAACCAGAUGUCCCUGAACCUGAACUUGAAACUGAACCCAGAUGUGUGUCUGUAAAGAGUGAUCGAUCAAAGGAAGCCAUCGUUGUCUUCAAAGGAAGUGGAUCCCCUGCUGUUGAGAAAGUUGUUCAGUCUGGCUCAGAUGUCUCCUGCCCCCAUCAUGCCCCGCAACAUAAAACUGACCUGGGACAAAUAUUUAUGGGGUUGGAGGACAACAUUGUCACUUUUG